UACGGAGGGGACUAGCGUUGUUCGGAAUUACUGGGCGUAAAGCGCGCGUAGGCGGGUUUGCAAGUCGGGGGUGAAAGCCCGAGGCUCAACCUCGGAACUGCCUUCGAUACUGCAAAUCUCGAGUCCGAGAGAGGUGAGUGGAAUUCCUAGUGUAGAGGUGAAAUUCGUAGAUAUUCGCAAGAACACCAGUGGCGAAGGCGGCUCACUGGCCCGGUACUGACGCUGAUGCGCGAAAGCGUGGGGAGCAAACGGG
rnacentral:rRNA from 1 species